rnacentral:lncRNA from 10 species
UCCUGAGUAGCUGGGACUGCGGGCAUGCACCACUGUGCCUAGCCCUACUUGGCUUUUAUUAGUGAUCCAGGAAUCAGACAGCAUAUCUUCCAAAAUAGAGGGAGUUCCACUCGGCACGACAGAUCCAUUGUAAGGUAGCUUGAGCAGGAACAAGGAAACAGAAUACCACAAAAAAGCAGAUGAGUUAACGUCAGGUUGCUUUCCUUAUAAGGGUUAAAGGAAAGAGGACUAUCUUAUCGUGCCAGCUCAGGUUUACUGGGCCCUUUCCAAUUGGUUGCCAUAAAUCUCCUAUUUUUAGGAAAACAUGAUCUGUUAGGGGAUUUUCCUGCUUCAUAAAGUUUCAGUUUGAUUAUGCAGCACUUAGCACGAGUGACUCCAUUUUGGCUUGGUCUGUUGGGGCCUAGUGUAGGACCUCAGUCCAAAACAAUGGGCUCCUAUAAAUUUUAUUUAACAUCACCACGGAGUGGGGCAGUGAGUGAGAGGGGUGAAGUGUGACAACCUAUAGAUUGUAUCUGUGAGUGCUCUUGCUGCAAACGGCAGGAACUCACUCUGGCUAACUCAAGCUAAGAACGAGCUUAUGAGAAAGAAUAUUGGAUGGUUUACAGGAUUGAUUCGUGUCUGGCAAACCAGGUUCGGGAAAAUGGGCAGGGAACACCCUGAAGGCCAGGUAGCUAAGAACCUAGUCACAGCCGCUCAGCCUCGGGGUCAGGAUGCCUGUGUGAAUUCUGCUACCAGUUACCAUGGACUGCUGGACUCUCGACCCCACUGCCAUGGCUUGACCUCCCAGACUCAAGCAAUCCUUCCACCUUAGUGUUCUGAGUAGCUGGGACUACAGGUGUGCACCGUCUCUAAUUACCUGUCUCUCCCUCAAGAGUCAAAGCCCCCAGCCUGAGCAUCCCACGGGCUGAGCCUGGGUCAAACAUGGGCCCUAGAAGACUGUCUGCUUCCUGUCGAGACCACCCCCUGGAGGACUCCUCCACAUAGGAAGGACUCAAAUGUAAGCAGACAAAAAUCAACAGAUGUCCUCUGCGGGAUUCACCGGUUUCCUCUCUAGAAUGAGCUCAUUCUGGAAGGCACUCAGGAGUUCAUCUGAGUAUCCAAGAAGUCCUUUUGCUGCUUUGUUGGGGUGAGGGGAGUGAAGACAGAGAGGUGUGUCAGUUGCCCCGUCAUCUCCAGCACUGGUUCCCGCAGAAGUCACCAGUAUCCACCCAACAGAACCAGGAUGAAUGGUUUGAGUGUGGUCAUUCCUCACAGAAGGAAUGGGCUGGGGAGCAGGAAGGGGAAAGCAAGGCAGCUGCAGUUUUAUAAUGUGCCUGCCCAGGACAGGCGGCCAUCCAUCAGGGAGAAGGAGGACCUCUGUGGAAACAGAGUAUGAAGCAAUCUGUUUCACUUGAAGUGAUUGUGUGAACUGAUAUAGUUGUUUGUCAUAAAUGUUGGCUAUGUAUGGAGUUAUUCUGACCCUUAGAAAACACUCCAUCCAGGCGUAGUGGCUCACGCCUGUAAUCCCAGCUACUCCGGAAGCUGAGGUGGGAGGAUCGCUUGAGCCCAGGAGGUCGAGGCUGCAGUGAGCUGAGAUCGCAUCACUGAGCUCUAGCCUGGGUGACAGAGUGAACCCCUGUCUCAGGAAAAAAAAGAAAGAAAAAAGGAAACACUCCAACGCUUCAGGAAACUAAGUCCAUUGUUUCAUAGACUUUCCUCCACUGGAAGCACACAGAUGCUGGGGUCUCAGGCACUGCUGCUGGGGAAGGGAGCCUUAGCUCUGCUCAAGAGCAGAAUGGCUCCAGGGACAGGAGAGGGAAGCAGAACGAGAGAGCCACACUUUUCCCUAAAACUGUGGUUUAGAAACUGGACUGCACAGACCCCAGUCACCUCUGGGACCCCAGGCAUGCAUAGCCCUAGGUAGAGGUCUGUCAGAUAAAACAGAGGACACUCAGUUACAUUUGAAAAUCAGAUAAAAUUUUAGUAUAAAUAGGUCCCAUGUAAUAUUUGGGAUCUUUACACAUUUUUUAUUUUUUUAAAAAUUGAAACUUAACUGGAUGUCCUGUGUGACAUUGUGAUAUAAUAAGAAAUAGAUAUUUGGUCUUCAUCCCCAGUUCCUGGACAGAGCUCCUAAGCACUUGUAAUUUCCUGAGUGACUGGGGAGAUAGGAGCAUCUCUUGUACUAUUUGGUCUCAGUCUCCAGUUCCUAAAACAAAGCUUCUAAGACCCUUGAAAUCUCCAGAGUGAUGAGUGUCUUUUUAUAUGUUAAUGAGAUAACUGGUGGCUGGGGGCCUCUAGAUAGCUUCAGGUUGGGAGACAGUCACCAGAAAGACCAGAGAAUGACUAGAGUUUUCAGUUCUCUCCCAAAUCUGGGAAGGGGUUAGGGGCUGGAGAUUGAGUUAGUUAACAAUGGUCAAUAAUUUUUACCAAUCAUGCCUGCAUAGUGGAUCUCCCAUAAAAACCCUAGAGAACACAGCUCAGAGAACUUCCGGUUGGCAAAUGCAUCAGCACGCUGGGAGGGUGGUGCACCCCAAUUCCAUGGAAUAGAAGCUCCUGUGCUUGGGACCCUGGACCUCCCUGUAUGUACAGUACCUUCCCUCCUUUUUUUGAGAUGGGGUCUUGCUAUGUUUCCCAGGCUGGUUUUGAACUCCUGGCCUCAGGUAUGCUUCUGCCUCAGCCUCCUGAGUAGCUGAGAUGAUAUAUACAGUACCUCUUCAUCUGGCUGUUCAUUUGUAUCCUUUAUAAUAUCCUUUAUAAUAAAUCCAUUAUAGUAAGUAAAGUGUUUCCCUGAGUUCUGUGGGCCAUGAUAGCAAAUUAUUGAACCUGAGGAAGGGGUCAUGGGAACUCCUGAUUUGCAGCCAAGUGUGGAUAACCUAGGGACCCAGUACUUGCGAUUGGUGUCGGAAGUGGGCGCAGUCUUGUGGGACUGAGUGCUUAGCCUGUGGGGUCUGUGUUGACUGCGUAGUGUCAGAAUUGAAUUAAAUUGUAGGACACUCGGUGUCCUCAGAGACUUAGAGAAUUGCUUGGUGUGAAAACCUCACACGUUUGAUGUCAGAAGUGUUAUGUGAGUAGAGAAACUGUUCUAUUUUUCCUUUGUUCCUGUAUUUUUAUUUGCUAAACAUGGCAACCUUACUUGAGUAUGCUGCUUUUUAAAAAUUUAUUUUGGGGCUUAGGCUGGGUGUGGUGGCUCAUGCCUGUAAUCCCAGCACUCUGGGAAGCUAAGGUGGGUGGAUCAUUUGAGGUCAGGAGUUUGAAACCAGCCUGACCAACAUGGCAAAACCCCAUUUCUACUAAAAAUACAAAAAAAAUUAGCCGGGCGUGGUGGUGGACGCCUGUAAUCCCAGCUACUUGUGAGGCGGAGGUGUGAGAAUUGCUUGAACCCGGGAGGUGGAGGUUGCAGUGAGGCUAGAUUGCACCACCACACUCCAGCCUGGGCAACAGAGUGAGACUCUGUCUAAAAAAAAAAAAAAAAAAAGAGAAGAAAAAAAUUUCUUUCGGGUCCUAGGUUAGAUUUUCUUGGAAUAAGAAAGGUGUUUUGUUUUGCUUUGUUUGUUUUAUAAAAAUGCAGCUAUGCAUGGAAGGAAAGGUUUGUACUGCCAAAAAAAAUAAAAGUUUUGAAAGUCAUGCUGACUUUUCAUUUUUUUCCUCUUUACAUGGAAAAACUUAGCUGUAAUGAAUAUUUAAUUAAUUCUUUCACCCUGUAC